rnacentral:lncRNA from 1 species
UCAAUUAAAACAUGUGAUGAUCACCAGAUGCCUUAUAUAAAUAUACAUCGUCGGUCUUUGUUAUUUGAAGAACAACAUUUCCUUCGUCAUCAUUGUUCUGGACUUCAUCUAUUCAUUCGUCUUCAUCGAACAUCAUACCAUCACCGGUAUUGUUCAACGAUCCCUCAUCUUCUUCAUUAUCAUCUAGUCUCGGGAAGCAUAUGAUCUCGAACAGGGCCUCUUCUCCUUCUCUGCCGGUAUUGUCCAUAG